rnacentral:rRNA from 1 species
GAUGAACGCUAGCGGCAGGCCUAAUACAUGCAAGUCGAACGAGAUUAAGAAGCUUGCUUCUUAUGAAAGUGGCGCACGGGUGCGUAACGCGUAUGCAACCUACCUUAAUCAGGGGGAUAGCCCGAAGAAAUUCGGAUUAAGACCGCAUAAAAACACAGGAUAGCAUUAUCCAAUGUUCAAAUAUUUAUAGGAUUAAGAUGGGCAUGCGUGUCAUUAGCUAGUUGGCGGGGUAACGGCCCACCAAGGCGACGAUGACUAGGGGAUCUGAGAGGAUGACCCCCCACACUGGUACUGAGACACGGACCAGACUCCUACGGGAGGCAGCAGUAAGGAAUAUUGGUCAAUGGAGGGAACUCUGAACCAGCCAUGCCGCGUGCAGGAAGACAGCCCUCUGGGUCGUAAACUGCUUUUAUUCGGGAAUAAACCUUUCUACGUGUAGGAAGCUGAAUGUACCGAAGGAAUAAGGAUCGGCUAACUCCGUG